GAUGAACGCUGGCGGCGUGCCUAAUACAUGCAAGUCGAGCGAACAGAUGAGGAGCUUGCUCCUCUGACGUUAGCGGCGGACGGGUGAGUAACACGUGGAUAACCUACCUAUAAGACUGGGAUAACUUCGGGAAACCGGAGCUAAUUCCGGAUAAUAUAUUGAACCGCAUGGUUCAAUAGUGAAAGACGGUUUUGCUGUCACUUAUAGAUGGAUCCGCGCCGCAUUAGCUAGUUGGUAAGGUAACGGCUUACCAAGGCAACGAUGCGUAGCCGACCUGAGAGGGGGAUCGGCCACACUGGAACUGAGACACGGUCCAGACUCCUACGGGAGGCAGCAGUAGGGAAUCUUCCGCAAUGGGCGAAAGCCUGACGGAGCAACGCCGCGUGAGUGAUGAAGGUCUUCGGAUCGUAAAACUCUGUUAUUAGGGAAGAACAAAUGUGUAAGUAACUAUGCACGUCUUGACGGUACCUAAUCAGAAAGCCACGGCUAACUACGUG
rnacentral:rRNA from 1 species